CCGGGUGGUAAAUCACCAGUCUUCUAAAGGUGAAACACCGGGUGGUAAAUCACCAGUCUUCUAAAGGUGAAACACCGGGUGGUAAAUCACCAGUCUUCUAAAGGUCAAACACCGGGUGGUAAAUCACCAGUCUUCUAAAGGUGAAACACCGGGUGGUAAAUCACCAGUCUUCUAAAGGUGAAACACCGGGUGGUAAAUCACCAGUCUUCUAAAGGUGAAACACCGGGUGGUAAAUCAC